GUCGAGGGGUAUGGGUUGCUUGCAACCCAGAGACCGGCGCACGGGUGCGUAACGCGUAUGCAACCUACCUUGAUCAGGGGGAUAGCCCGGAGAAAUCCGGAUUAACACCGCAUAACAUUGUGAUAUGGCAUCAUAUUAUAAUCAAAUAUUUAUAGGAUCGAGAUGGGCAUGCGUGACAUUAGUUAGUUGGUGAGGUAACGGCUCACCAAGACUGUGAUGUCUAGGGGAUCUGAGAGGAUGACCCCCCACACUGGUACUGAGACACGGACCAGACUCCUACGGGAGGCAGCAGUAAGGAAUAUUGGUCAAUGGGCGCAAGCCUGAACCAGCCAUGCCGCGUGCAGGAAGACGGCCCUACGGGUUGUAAACUGCUUUUGUACCGGAAUAAACCUGCUCUCGUGAGAGCAGCUGAACGUACGGUAAGAAUAAGGAUCGGCUAACUCCGUGCCAGCAGCCGCGGUAAUACGGAGGAUCCAAGCGUUAUCCGGAUUUAUUGGGUUUAAAGGGUGCGUAGGCGGCUUUUUAAGUCAGGGGUGAAAACUUGCGGCUCAACCGUAAGCUUGCCUUUGAUACUGAGGAGCUUGAAUACACUUGAGGUAGGCGGAAUGUGACAAGUAGCGGUGAAAUGCAUAGAUAUGUCACAGAACACCAAUUGCGAAGGCAGCUUACUAAAGUGAGAUUGACGCUGAGGCACGAAAGCGUGGGGAUCAAACAGGAUUAGAUACCCUGGUAGUCCACGCCCUAAACGAUGAAUACUCGAUGUUAGCGAUAUACAGUUAGCGUCUAAGCGA
rnacentral:rRNA from 1 species